rnacentral:rRNA from 1 species
AAAUAGAACUUUGCAGAGAGAGUUAACAGGGCGUGAAACCGUUAAUUGGCAAACGAAUCGGAGCCACGAAGUCGUUUCGCUGUUGGCUUGAGUUCAGGUGCGGUCCUCGGGCCUCAUCGUAUUCUCGAGGCUAACGUUGUAAACGUACACUGCAACCAGUUGGACGAUUGAGGAUGGGCAUCGUUUCUAAAUGGGUUAGAAAUAGCUUGGUACGCCUCGUGUGUGUAUCUGGGUUAUUGGGCCCAUUUAGGUGAACUAUUCUCAACUACUGACUGGCAGAAUAGAAUUCAUCCUCUUGGAUGUGAUACAAAAUGCAGCAGUCAACAUUGUUAAUCACAUGCUUGGCCAUUGAGUCUAAGCUCAGUAGUCUUGAAUUUGGACUUUCUUGCUACCAGUGGGCCCACUCUUGGUGCUUGUUUAGCCUCCAUCUAAUCGGCUACUGACUUGGCUUGGUGUUUAGUCCAAGUAUGCUACCGUUGGUUAAUAAUGUUAGAUUGUUUGCAAUUUGAUUGGCAGUGAGUAGGUCGGCUUUCCGAACGACCCGUCUUGAAACACGGACCAAGGAGUCUAAUUAGGCAUCAAGUCGAUCGGUCUUGAUUAGGCCAGAGAGAAGGCGUAGAGACAUGUGAUUCCUUCCACUAACCAGGUGGUUGACGCAACAUGUGCCUGCUCGUAUAGCAAUGUAGCAAUAAUGCUGGCGGAGUAAAGAGAUGCCUGAUUGGUACCCGAAAGAUGGUGAUGCUUGGGCAAAUUGAAGCCAGAGGAAACUCUGGUGGAGGAUUGUAGCGAUUCUGACGUGCAAAUCGAUCGUCAGACCUGAGUAUAGGGGCGAAAGACUAAUCGAACCAUC